GGCGAGAUAGUUUAACUUGGUUAAAACUUUAUAUUAGUCCGAGGGCAAAAUAUUGAAAUGUUGGUUCGAUUCCAACUCUUGCCACCA
rnacentral:tRNA from 1 species